AGGUAUAAACGUUCCUUCCUUGAGACAGUUAAAAUUCAUUGCUGUGAGAACAACCUCAAUAUUAUGACUGAUUCAUGUAGACUUAAUCCAAUUUACACUUAUCUAGUUCAUGCCAUAAAGAAGAAGAGUGAAAUGUCAUCUUUCGGUGACGUUCCAACUCAAGGUUGAAGUUAUUCCUUAUUCUUGAACAUUGUGUCAAUCUGAUAUGACAAGAGUUUUUUGGUAGAUAUCACUGAAUGAAAAAUCGUAGUUUGCAGAUUAAUAAUCAGAUCAUUAAGCAUUUUUAACUGUUAAUUCCUCGACAUCUCGAAUUAAUCUUCCUGAACAUUGUGUCAGUCUGAUAUGACAAGAGUUUUUGAUCAAAUAAUUUUGAGAGAUAAUACUGAAUGAAAAAUCGUAGUUUCCAGAUUAAUAAUCAGAUCAUUGAAGCAUUUUUAACGAUUAACUCCUCAACAUCUCGAAUUGAUGAGAGUGUUUUUGGCCAUGUCUGUUGUUAUAUUUUUGUCUUACUGAAUGUAUAUUUCAGCUCCCUGAAGAUGGUCACAAUGAUGACCGAAAGCUAGGAUGGUACAAUAAAUGAGAUAGAUCAUA